UACGAAGGGGGCUAGCGUUGUUCGGAAUUACUGGGCGUAAAACGCGCGUAGGCGGUGAUCUUUGUCAGAGGUGAAAGCCCGGGGCUCAACUCCGGAAUUGCCUUUGAAACGGGAUCGCUUGAGUCCGAGAGAGGAUGGCGGAAUUCCUAGUGUAGAGGUGAAAUUCGUAGAUAUUAGGAAGAACACCGGUGGCGAAGGCGGCCAUCUGGCUCGGUACUGACGCUCAGGCGCGAAAGCGUGGGGAGCAAACAGG
rnacentral:rRNA from 1 species